rnacentral:lncRNA from 1 species
UGGAUGUUUGUGCCAUCUUCUUCUCUUGACCUCAGCAUGGCUGACAAAAAUAGAGAGUGGUGCGUGACCAUCAUGUGAAGUUUGGAGAGCUUGACUAAUCUCUGACUAAUUGAGGAUUCUUUCUUGUAUAAGAACUGAAUAGCAGUGUUCAGGACCUUCAGAAAUGCUUCAUCUCUGUAGCGGUACUUCAAACCUGCCUUCACAAGGCUGUACCAGUCAUCUGGGUCCACUUCUUCAACCAGGCUCAGUAAUUCUUCUAGCCUCAGUAGCACUGGCCUCUCCACAUCUUGCUUGCUUUCAUCUUUACUGCUGUUGUACAUGACAACUAAUCCCCUCAUGCAG